UUCCCAUACGAUCACCGAAGAAAAGCAACGUCGAGCCUGGUCAGUACCUAGAUGGGUGACUGCUUGGGAAUACUAGAUGCGGUAA